AACUAGAGCAAUAUUUUCUUUUUUCUCCAGAUCCCAAUUCUCUGGCUGGCCAGAAUGGCCCUGACCAUGCUCUCAUAGGAGGAAUAGUGGCUGUAGUUGUAUUUGUCACACUGUGCUCUAUAUUUCUGCUUGGUCGGUAUCUGGCAAGACAUAAAGGAACAUAUUUAACGAAUGAAGCUAAAGGAGCUGAAGAUGCACCUGAUGCUGAUACAGCCAUUAUCAAUGCUGAAGGCAGCCAAGUCAAUGCUGAAGAGAAAAAAGAGUAUUUCAUUUAAAAUUCAGACCACAGUUCUGAGUUUUACUUACCAGGCUGACUGCUGGAGAAAACUGGCUAUCAUCUUUCAGAAAUCAUUCCUACCAUCUUCUGCUACUUUUAUUAACAUCCAUACUGUACUGCUCUCAGUAGCCAGUAUAUACCAACAAUCAGCUGUUGAAAGCAUCAUUCUUUAAUUACUGUACCAUCCAUAAUGCAGGACAUUUCUUACUGCCUAAAUUUCACACCAUUGCUGUUUUAACACACAGUGCUUGAAUAUACAGCCUUAACAAUGUUAAUCAUUUCCUUGGAUCAUGAUAUUAAGUUGUUUUUAUCCAUUGAAAAACAUGUAUGCAGAGGUUCUUCCUUUCCCCAUUUUUUCUUUAAAUCAUAAACUUUAUUGAUUUGCCACUGGACAGCUUUCACAAGUAACAGGAUUAGGUAAAGACCUAAUAUACUUAAAUUUAAUUGAAGAUUAGAGGUUUACAAACAAUGUUUUCUACCUGUCUAUCUUCAAAGACAUGUUUUGGAAACAUAUGCCCUAGAAAACACAAACUGAAAACACUGUAGUGUAGUUUAUGGAAUGUUUGAGAUUAUACUGGUUAUGCUGUAUCAAUCUGCUAUUUAAAAAUUUAGUGUUUGAUACAUGAGCCAUGUGUAUGGAUAUAAUCAAGACAUAACAUCUUAUAUAAUUAUAUAGAUCCCACCAUUAGGUUAUUGUAGCUUCAUUUAUCAAUAAAUUAUUCCAAACAUUUAACUGCUUUGGGAAUCACAAAGAUUUCAUUCAUUUCUCUAUUUGAUUCUGUAAUUUAUUUGCUCCAUAAGGACUCACCUGCCUAAACAAAAUUGAAGUAUCCGUAGGGCACAAUUUUGAGACAUUUUAGUAUCUGUAUAUAGUGCAUAUAAGAAAUCCAAUUAAACAUUAUUUGAUACAUAUUUAACUUUUUUGGCUGUAGGUUAUUCAGUCAUAAGUAAGCAUUUUCUAACAUCCAUUAUAUCCCUUUAGAUAUUACUUAAACAAAUAUUAUAAGUAGAUAACAUGUAUUAGUAUUUUUGUCUGUAUGUCCUAGCACUGUUCAACAACAAAUUUUUCUAGUUCUUGUUAAUUUUUAUUUGUUAUACAAUGGAAGCACAAUGUUAUAAGGAAAGGUAAUUUUAAGCUAACAACCAGUGCACAGCCUCAGGUUUUAAAUUACAACCACAGUUGAAUAAUAACCUAAAAUAAACUCUUAGUUUGGUAAAAAUUUAUAAAUUUUAAUUUGGCAGUUCCAGAGCUGCUAACCUAUGUUGGUUUGCCAAAAAGAAGUAUUUAAGAUAUGUUUUCUGUAUAAAUGAACUAAUUCUUUCUAUUAAAUUCCUGUCUAUGCAUUUUGUGAGGUACAAACUUAUGAAACAGUGAGUGAUAGAGAAUUUCUGCCAUGCUUUUAACUCCAAGGUGAAAGUCUUUUUCUCUGGAUUAUUUUGAAAUUUUUGUGUAUUUAACCAUUAUGAAAUGCUGUAUUCUUAAAUAUGACAAAGUCAAUAUAAAGUCUUAUUUCUUCUAGUAAAAUAUAAUAUGGCUAGAUUAGUUUUCAUUAAAUUUAUUAUAUGCUAAAUUAAAAAUCCAGUUAGAUUAAAAGUUAUUUUCCCAUUUACAAGCAUUGCACCUUUAAGAAGAAUACAAAUAUGACAAAAUGGUAGCUGUACUUUGAUGUCUGAUAGCAUGAUGGCCUAGUGUUUUAAAACUAAUACCUUCAAAUUUAUUUUUGAGAAAUAAGAAUGGUUGAGUACAACAUCAUGUAUUAGUACAAAGUGAAAGACAAGGGUGCUGUAUCUUAGAUUAUUUAUCAGAAAAGUAUAAAUCUUUUAAGGACAAUGUUAGAUUUUUUUAAGUUGGUUGUUUUGAUUGUUGAAGGAUUUAUCUUGUUGAUUUCUUACAAAAGAAAAGGACGAUGUCAGUCAAGCAGCACUUUUUCAAAAUAUACAGAACAUAAAUAUGAUGUGGUUGAGUGUUAACAUAAUAAAUCAUAUACAGUAUGACAUUUUAAG